UACAGAGGUCCCAAGCGUUGUUCGGAUUCACUGGGCGUAAAGGGUGCGUAGGUGGUCAGGUAAGUCUGAUGUGAAAUCUCUGGGCUCAACCCAGAAACUGCAUUGGAUACUAUCUGGCUAGAGGAGUGGAGGGGGGACUGGAAUACUUGGUGUAGCAGUGAAAUGCGUAGAUAUCAAGAGGAACACCAGUGGCGAAGGCGAGUCCCUGGACGGUACCUGACACUGAGGCACGAAAGCUAGGGGAGCAAACAGG
rnacentral:rRNA from 1 species